UAAUGCCCGGACGGUAUUAAUGCAGAAAAAUAGAACUGCGAGUGCACAUGGUUUAAAAAGGGAAGCAGAUACGAUGGUUAGUUACAGUGCAAAGAAGUCCCCCUUGGUUACUGUUGGGCAGAAUGUGAUUAUUAAAAUUCCUGAUGAAGACAGAGACCGUGCGGCACCUAGAAAUAUUAUGGCUAUAGUCAUUUCUGAAGAAGACGGUUUUUACAAACUAGGAACAGCCAAUGGCGUUUUUGAGAAAAUGUAUACUAGAAAUGAGUUUCAGUUGUCUGAAAGUUAAUUUAUGUCUGCGGAAGAUGUUCCAUCCACGUCAUUUUCGAUGAGGCAGAUUGCUGCUAAGGAGACCAAGUCCAAGCAAGGCUUUAUAAAAUGUAAUCCCGACAAAAGAAGAGUACCAAUCUCUAUUGAAUUUCUAUUAGAAAUACCGGAAUGAACUGUUUUUAUUAACGUUCUUCUCCAUAUAGGCUAAAAUAGUACGUAUAAGGUAGUUUUGUUUUAUUGUUAUAAUUAAAAUGAUAACUAUAAUACAA